GGUUAGUUUCAUUCAAAUCAUGCAAAUUAGAGUCCGAAACAAGAGGAAAAGCAUUAGGAAAAGUAGAUACGAAGGAGACGUAUCAGAGUGACGUUGGAGAUGUGGUGUCCGGUGCGCGACCAGCCACUGCGACGUCACCCACCUGCACCUGCACUGCCGCCAACCUCCAUGAUUCCGCCGCGAUCCUUCCCCGUGCUCCGUCUUUGCUGCUGGGAGACUCCAAUCGCCGGCCCAGUCUCUCCUUCCCCGCCGGCUCUGCUGAUGAGGUAGUCCUUCCCCGCCGGCUCUGUUGAUGAGGUAGUCCUUCCCCGCCAGCUCCUUCCUCGCCGCCGACGCCUACUACUGCUGCUGCCCCCGCCGUCGACACCUACUAUUGCUGCUUCGACCACCUGCAGCUGGUCUUUCUACUUUGACCACACGAACUCGCCUCGCCUCUGGCCGGCCUCCUUUGUCCCGCCUUUGCUGCUGCUGCUAGAGACAAGGUCUGCAAUGUAAUCAUUUGUUGCGAGGUUAGCCGUGAUGCUUUUGUUUACAGCAGACGGCGGAGUAACUUCUCUUGCUUCUUCCCGGCAUUGCUCUUCGCUUCUAAAAUGAAAUAUUUAUCAAAAGUAUAUGGUGAAUGAAUUCGGUUACGACCAUUAACAACAGAAAAAUGCCUGGAAGUAUUUCUUUUAAGUGCUUUAAUUGUUGUACUCUUACAGUAUUUAUGAUAUUUGGUGACUCGUUGCUCCUGUGAGUAUGGUUUGACAUUGAUUAUAGAAAACAACAAAA